rnacentral:rRNA from 1 species
AUUGGAAUGAUGGAAAUUUAAACCCUUUUUAAAGUAUCAAUUGGAGGGCAAGUCUGGUGCCAGCAGCCGCGGUAAUUCCAGCUCCAAUAGCGUAUAUUAAAAUUGUUGCAGUUAAAAAGCUCGUAGUUGAAGUUCUGCUAAAAGUAACCGGUCUGCUUUGAAUAAAAGUGGUAUCUUGGUAUGUAUUUAGCAAUGAUGUCCUUUGAAGUGUUUUUUACUUUAUUGUAAUAAAGCAUAUUCAGGACUUUUACUUUGAGAAAAUUAGAGUGUUUCUAGCAGGCCAACGCUUUGAAUACUGCAGCAUGGAAUAAUAAGAUAGGAUUUUAGUUCUACAUUAUUGGU